rnacentral:rRNA from 1 species
GAGUUUGAUCCUGGCUCAGAGCGAACGCUGGCGGCAGGCUUAACACAUGCAAGUCGAGCGGGCGUAGCAAUACGUCAGCGGCAGACGGGUGAGUAACGCGUGGGAACAUACCUUUUGGUUCGGAACAACACAGGGAAACUUGUGCUAAUACCGGAUAAGCCCUUACGGGGAAAGAUUUAUCGCCGAAAGAUUGGCCCGCGUCUGAUUAGCUAGUUGGUGAGGUAACGGCUCACCAAGGCGACGAUCAGUAGCUGGUCUGAGAGGAUGAUCAGCCACAUUGGGACUGAGACACGGCCCAAACUCCUACGGGAGGCAGCAGUGGGGAAUAUUGGACAAUGGGCGCAAGCCUGAUCCAGCCAUGCCGCGUGAGUGAUGAAGGCCCUAGGGUUGUAAAGCUCUUUUGUGCGGGAAGAUAAUGACGGUACCGCAAGAAUAAGCCCCGGCUAACUUCGUGCCAGCAGCCGCGGUAAUACGAAGGGGGCUAGCGUUGCUCGGAAUCACUGGGCGUAAAGGGUGCGUAGGCGGAUCCUUAAGUCGGUGGUGAAAUCCUGAAGCUCAACUUCAGAACUGCCUUCGAUACUGGGGACCUUGAGUUCGGGAGAGGUGAGUGGAACUGCGAGUGUAGAGGUGAAAUUCGUAGAUAUUCGCAAGAACACCAGUGGCGAAGGCGGCUCACUGGCCCGAUACUGACGCUGAGGUGCGAAAGCGUGGGGAGCAAACAGGAUUAGAUACCCGUGUAGUCCACGCUGUAAACAAUCCUCGCUAGAUAUUUGUUUUAUCUUUUUAUUUUAGACUUCGGUCUAAGGUUUAUGGGGUAAAGUGAGUGUCGCAGCUAACGCGUUAAGCGAGGCGCCUGGGAAGUACGACCGCAAGGUUAAAACCCAAAGGAAUUGACGGGGACCCGCACAAGCAGUGGAGCGCCUGGUUUAAUUCGAUGAUUAGCGAAGAACCUCACCUGGGCUUGAACUGUAGCUGCACAUCCUCCGAAAAGAGGAUUCCUUCGAGGGUGCUAUAGAGGUGCUGCAUGGCUGUCGUCAGCUCGUGUCGUGAGAUGUAGGGUUAAGUCCCGCAACGAGCGCAACCCCUAUCCGAUGUUAAAAUUACUUCGGAAACUGCCCCGUUUCAACGGGGAGGAAGGAGGGGAUGACGUCCAGUCAUCAUGUCCCUUAUGUCCAGGGCUACACAGACGCUACAAUGGUCACUACAAUGGGUUGCCAAACCGUAAGGUGGAGCUAAUCCCAACAAAAGUGAUCUCAGUUCAGAUUGAGGGCUGAAACUCGCCCUCAUGAAGUCGGAAUUGCUAGUAAUCGUGCAUCAGCGUGGCACGGUGAAUACGUUCUCGGGUCUUGUACACAC